UGUGCUUAAAAUAUCAUAUCAAUAGGCUUUUCAUUUAUGUGUAUAUUGACUGACGUCCUCCACUCCGCUCAUGGAGGGUAAAAACAGUGAUAAAAUAAAUUAAAACCAUUGGAGGCUGAUGAGAAUUUCCUCUUUUUGAAGAAUAAAAGUAAACAGUCAUUUCUAAAACAUCCCACAAUGCACUUCAACCAACGGCUGAUAUUAGCCGACGAUACGAA